ACCAUUUUUUACGCGAUGAAUCAUUCAUAAACAUUUUGCAAUAACUGUUCUUAUCGGUGUAAUACAAGAUACGUCCCCCGUAAGGGGACUUCAAUAUUACACUGAUUUAGAGAACAUGACUGAGGGUUAGGGACUUGUUCCACCUCUACCAAAAGGUCGGCCUGGUGACGUAGUUUCUCCAGGACUGGCCAACUCCCC